GAAGAAGGGGGAGUGGGGAUGGUAUAGGGGGUUUAUAGAUGGGAAACCGGGAAAGGGGAUAACAUUUAAAAUGUAAAUGUAAAUAAAAAUAUCCAAUCUAAAAAAAAAACCUGAAUGUAUUAUGGAGGCUUGUCAAGGACCAAACCUCAGAACCUUUCUUUGGAAUCGUUUUGCCACUUUAUGGUAGUGCAGUAAUAGCACCCAGCUUCCAGUUUCUGGGUACAGAGGCUGCCAAGUUCGCCCCUUUCUGUAGAGAUAUCUACAAAUACACUUUUCCCCUUUUGCCUGUAUCUCUACCUUACUGUGAGCCCAACAUUAUACAAUUGCAGGAGUUUAAACCAUAUGCACUGAUAAGUAAAAACUACCAUAGUUAAAGACAGACAGUGCGUCAAUGUAACCCACAUAGUGCAGGGCAUUGAGGAAGCCCUGGGUGACUGAAGUCCUAAAUGAAUGUACAUUGUUGAUAUGGGCACAGCCAUAACAAAGACCAAGGCAUUGGACCCAUGGCUGAUUGGCAAAGCUAUCCCUACAUAGGCCAUACUCAAAGUUGUAAAGCCUUCUUUUCCUCUGGUCCAAAUAAAAGUUUUACAGAAAAUGAUCAGUAUGUACAAACACUAGCAACUGAACCUUCUUCCUUCUCCUACAUGUUAACUGUCUGAGACUAGUUGUCUACAAAUACUAGACACCCCCUGCCCCAGUGCUGUACAUAAAAAAUAUGCUGAGAUUGGGGACAUGUUAGUAGGUGACAUUCCAUCACAGUUCAUACACCCUACUUGACCUCAGCUUUUCUGUAUGUAUGUACAUCUGUCCUUUCAUUAUUCUUUUGCUACCCUUCAUCAAAGUUCCAGGAUGCAAGCCAUGAAGAACAUAGCAGUUAUGACUACUAAUGACUACAUGACCAGUAUUAAAGACUAUAUAGACUUUUGAGUCUGGCUACCCACAGUCUACCUUCAAGAUGCCUCCAGAUCACUGUGGCAACAAUGUUUAUCUGUUUUCAUUGCUGAAUAGUAUUCCAUGUUGUGGCUAUAGAAUGUUUAUCUAUUUACUAACUAAAGAAGUUUGGGUUAUUUUUCAACAUGGGGCAAGUUUGUGCACGGUUAGGCAAAUGCGGGUAGUGGAUUACUAACACUGUUCUGUCUUCUGACUUUUCCUGUCACAUGUCUUCAUUUCCUACUUGUGCUUCCUGGGAUCACUAUCUCCAAAGACCUUUUCUUAGGUAAGAUUUGGAAGACCCACCACAAAACUUUAUGACAAUUAUACAAUGCGGAAGUCAGGUGAGAUGGGACACCAUUAGCAGUGUGAAUACUGAGAGACAGGUGCAGAAAAAUCAUAUAUAAAGCCCAAAUAAGUUACUACCUGGGGAGGGGGAAGCUACUGAGUUUGGUCCAACACUGUUUGUCAGUGCAAGCUGACCAUGCAUAGAAAAGUUUUCACCAAACUUUAGACCUCUGGUGUCUACUCCUAUAUUACACUGACAAUUUUUUUAUUUUGCUAUUUUAUAAAUUCUAUAAAUUGAAAAACACAAAAAUCCUUUACAGUUAUUAUUUCAAAGAUAACAUCUAUUAACAGUUGUGUUCAGAUACUUCAGACAGGUCCUGUACAUAAAGAGAAUUGGUGUUUUACACUAGCACGUGAAUCAUAAAAAUACUACAUCUACUCUCUAGAUAAAGGGAUAUAGCCAAUUUUGAUGUCUGUAUCUUGUCCCUCCACAUUUUCUAACAUUGCCUUAUUCCACUUAAAGAGGAAAGAGGUAAUGUUGUAGUUUGUUUUUGUUGAUGUGAUAAAAAAAAUACUUCAAACAAAAUAUCUUGGGGAGGAGAGGAUUUAUGUGGCUUAAAAUUCCUGAUCCUAGUCUAUCAUUGAGGGUAGUUGUGGCAGGAAUCCAAGUAGUAAGAGAGGCACGUACCAUAGAGGAAAGCUACUUACUGACUUGCUUCCCUGGACUUGUUUAUCUAGCUUUGUUAUACAAUCUAAGACCGCCAGUUCAGGGGUAAUACCACCUCCAGUGGGCUGAAUCCUCUACACAUCAGUAAGCUAUCAUGAAAAUACCUGUCAGACAAAUUAACAGACUAAUCUGAUCAAGGCAGUGUCCCAGUUGAGACUGUCUUAGGUAAUUCUGGGCUGUGUCAUAUUCACAAAUGAAGUUCCUCAUUGAAGGGGACUGAGGCUUCUGGAUGGAGCCCCUCCUAAUGCCCACAUUCAUGGAGACAGACAUGUAUGGCAGCAGAGAUACAGCGAGAGUCAGACCACAUAGGCCCCAUGCAGACUGAGUGCCAAUUUAAAAAAGGCUCUGAGAUCUUCAGGUCCAGGAUGAUUCAAAGCCAUCAAGAAGGAAGUGCAGAUACUGCUAAGGACAUGAAGGUGGGCAGUGGCAUUCUCUUCACAUACAUUCAUCUAUGUGACACGGAAGGUGCCCAGAAUGCUUGGCUUGAGACCCCAUCGGUUUCAUGACUAAGGAAACAGAUUAGGAGCUCUUAGCCAGUCAAAGGUUUGACAGUGAAAUAGAGCUGAGGAAUACACCAAAGAUCCUUAGAACAGCAGGAUGUAAUUAAUCAGUGUCUUAGAAAUAAGUGCCAACCAUGCCUAUGUUAGACACCAUUUCCAAUCUCUGCCCCAGUGAAUCUCAAAACAAAGAAGGAAUGAACUUUUUUCCAGAGGACAUCAAAAUUAGAGCUGGAGAAGUCAAUGUGACAAAAAGCAGCAGUCAGAAGAAUGAGAAACCUUCUGAGGAGAGGAGGCCCCUCUAGGUUGAGAGGCAUGGAGGAGUUAGGCAGGUAGACAAUCUAAAAAGUGACUGCUUUGGGGAGCAGAUGUUUGACUGGAGGAAAAAUUCACCAGCGUAGCUUCAAUGAAACAUUUAAAAUGUCUUGGGAUUAGUUAAUAAACAUUCUUAGUGCUGUUAACAAGGUUGGCCACAUGUGCUACAUGGUACACAGAUUGGCCCUAAUAUUUUUCUGUGUUCCUUGUGGAUGUCAUAUACUUUUCCAUCAACUGGGACAGAUUCAGUGAUCCAAGUCUUGGACCUGGGAAACCUACAGAUCAUGCUACAGGAUGUUUUCUACCUUGAAUUAUGAAACUGUGGGGCAGGGAAAAGGUCCAUAGAUUCUGAUGUGUGCCAGGAUUUAGAAUCUACAGAAUGAGAAGAAACCAAGGUGCAUGGCCCUGUUUGUCCUGAGGGAAAGGCUGAUCUGUAUCUGUCAUAGAAGGACCCUGGAAGUCUUCUUUAUGCUCUGUCUCCACCUGCUAAGUCUGCAGGGCUGGGCAGUGAAAGCCAAAGGAAUUAUUGAUGCUGUAAAUUUAAGGAAAUGAAGCAUUGCAGAAGAUAAUUUUCUUUUUGAUCCCUAGCCAGACGUCUUUUGAAAAGCUGCUAUAAAUCCAGUGUCCCUGAGAAGUGUCAUCUGUCCUCUCUCCCUGAAACCUCUGUGACUGCACUGAUUAUCCAGAGAGACUGCAUGGGGCCUCCUGAGUCCCAGGCACCCCUCCCUAGCACAGUGCCACAAACAACUGCUAUACUUGGAGGAGGAUAGUUCAUAAUUCCUGUCAGCCAGGAAAAUCACAGGAGUAAGAAAUGGAUAAAAGACUCUGGAAAAUGGACUCCAAAACACACCCAGGAGUUACAUAUGGAGCACUUAGCACAACAGAAUGAAGAUAAGUGAUGAGUUCUUCCUCAAAUGAUCGUGCAUCUUUCUACAUUUCCUGUCCUUUCCUCACCUGAGAAUCCUUGUCGCUUCUCAUUUGAUCCACUGAAUAUGAGACUUCACCUCCAUGCAAGUAAACAAAGGAUUUAAACUGGACAGACACACCCAAGUACUGAACUCGGGACCCCUCAGCUUCUUCACAGUGAUGAAGGAUAGGACAAUUGGGUCCCAUGGAAAUCUACAAACAACCCAGGCUGUUGCUCAAACAAUGGAUUGUUCUCUGAAAACUGACAGCAGGACCCCAUUACUGAGGACAACAUUCACACAACUCAUUGGACAUGGGUAAGUUGAGUCAGUGCCUACAUGGGCUCUUCUCCUGUAUGUGAGAGUAUCUUUCAUGUAGGAAGGUACUCCUCAGACUACCAAAACAGGAAUGUAAACCCCAACUGAGCCACAAAACCUUUGACCUACAACCUGUCUUGCCUGUAAGAUAUGUUAGGGCAAUGGUGGCACAGAACUUGUGGGAGUAGCCAAGUAAUGUUUGGUUUGUCUCUACAAGAUGGAACCUAUACCAGACCAAUAACCAGAGACUAGAUAGUUCAGAGACCUAGAGGAAAGCCAAACAGUACUCUUCUAAAAAUAUUAACAAUAAAAUUAUUCCUAAUAAUAUUCUCAUAAA
rnacentral:sRNA from 1 species